AGUGAACGCUGGCGGUAGGCCUAACACAUGCAAGUCGAACGGCAGCACAGUAAGAGCUUGCUCUUACGGGUGGCGAGUGGCGGACGGGUGAGGAAUACAUCGGAAUCUACUUUUUCGUGGGGGAUAACGUAGGGAAACUUACGCUAAUACCGCAUACGACCUACGGGUGAAAGCAGGGGAUCUUCGGACCUUGCGCGAUUGAAUGAGCCGAUGUCGGAUUAACUAGUUGGCGGGGUAAAGGCCCACCAAGGCGACGAUCCGUAGCUGGUCUGAGAGGAUGAUCAGCCACACUGGAACUGAGACACGGUCCAGACUCCUACGGGAGGCAGCAGUGGGGAAUAUUGGACAAUGGGCGCAAGCCUGAUCCAGCCAUACCGCGUGGGUGAAGAAGGCCUUCGGGUUGUAAAGCCCUUUUGUCGGGAAAGAAAAGCAGCAGGUUAAUACCCCGCUGUUCUGACGGUACCCAAAGAAUAAGCACCGGCUAACUUCGUG
rnacentral:rRNA from 1 species